rnacentral:hammerhead_ribozyme from 1 species
AUCCAGUUGACGAAUCCCAAAUAGGACAAAAGCGCGUGUCCUGGAU